rnacentral:rRNA from 1 species
CCUACGGGGGGCAGCAGUGAGGAAUAUUGGUCAAUGGGCGCGAGCCUGAACCAGCCAAGUCGCGUGAGGGAAGACGGUCCUAUGGAUUGUAAACCUCUUUUGUCGGGGAGCAAAAGACGCCACGUGUGGCGUUCCGAGAGUACCCGAAGAAAAAGCAUCGGCUAACUCCGUGCCAGCAGCCGCGGUAAUACGGAGGAUGCGAGCGUUAUCCGGAUUUAUUGGGUUUAAAGGGUGCGCAGGCGGAAGAUCAAGUCAGCGGUAAAAUUGAGAGGCUCAACCUCUUCGAGCCGUUGAAACUGGUUUUU